GACGAACGCUGGCGGCGUGCUUAACACAUGCAAGUCGAACGGACAGACCCUGCUCUUGUUGGGUUCUCGAUUGGCGAACAGGUGAGUAAAACGUGUGUAACCUGUACUUGACUUUCGGGUAACUUCAGGGGACUGGGGCUCUUAUCGGAUAGGAGCUCCUGCUGCGUGGUGGUGAUUGGUGAGAUACGGCGGUGGGGGCUGGUCUCGAGGCUUAUCCGCUUGUUGGUCAGGUAGUGGCGUACCAAGGUUUUGACGGGUAGCCGGCCUGAGAGGGUGACCGGCCACAAGGGGACUAAGAUACGGACCAGACGCCGAUGGGACGCAGCAGUGGGGAAUAUUGCACAAUGGGCGGAAGCGUGAGGCAGCAACGCCGCGUGCGGGAUGACGUCCUUCGGGUUGUAAACCGCUGUCGCCUGUGACGAAGCGUGAGUGACGGUAAUGGGUAAAGAAGCACCGGCUAACUACGUG
rnacentral:rRNA from 1 species